rnacentral:lncRNA from 1 species
GAGGCCGCGAAAUGUAUUGAGAAGAUGCAGCAUCAAGUGCAAAAGCUUGAAAAGGAAAAUGCCGAGUUAAAAGAUACAAACAAAAUGCAAGCGGGCACAAUUGAAGAGCUUCAGAGAAACCCGCCGGGUCCAAGUUCGGUAAGUCGGGUUUUUUCUGUCAUAACCGAAAAGGAAUUUUAAUUGUGUUACCAAUAUUAUAUGAGACUAUUUUAGAAAAUAGGA